UGGAGUGUCAGCUUAAGUGGUUAAAGCGCCUAGCUUUCAACCAGGAGACUAAAGUUCGAUUCUUACUUCGA
rnacentral:tRNA from 1 species